rnacentral:rRNA from 1 species
GAUGAACGCUGGCGGCGUGCCUAAUACAUGCAAGUCGAGCGAACGGACGAGAAGCUUGCUUCUCUGAUGUUAGCGGCGGACGUGUGAGUAACACGUGGAUAACCUACCUAUAAGACUGGGAUAACUUCGGGAAACCGGAGCUAAUACCGGAUAAUAUUUUGAACCGCAUGGUUCAAAAGUGAAAGACGGUCUUGCUGUCACUUAUAGAUGGAUCCGCGCUGCAUUAGCUAGUUGGUAAGGUAACGGCUUACCAAGGCAACGAUGCAUAGCCGACCUGGGAGGGUGAUCGGCCACACUGGAACUGAGACACGGUCCAGACUCCUACGGGAGGCAGCAGUAGGGAAUCUUGCGCAAUGGGCGAAAGCCUGACGGAGCAACGCCGCGUGAGUGAUGAAGGUCUUCGGAUCGUAAAACUCUGUUAUUAGGGAAGAACAUAUGUGUAAGUAACUGUGCACAUCUUGACGGUACCUAAUCAGAAAGCCACGGCUAACUACGUG